rnacentral:rRNA from 1 species
UACGUAGGGUGCAGGCGUUUAAUCGGAAUUACUGGGCGUAAAGCGUGCGCAGGCGGUCUUUUAAGUCAGAUGUGAAAUCCCCGGGCUUAACCUGGGAACUGCGUUUGAAACUGGAAGGCUAGAGUGUGGCAGAGGGGGGUGGAAUUCCACGUGUAGCAGUGAAAUGCGUAGAUAUGUGGAGGAACACCGAUGGCGAAGGCAGCCCCCUGGGCUAACACUGACGCUCAUGCACGAAAGCGUGGGGAGCAAACAGG